UACGUAGGGUGCAAGCGUUAAUCGGAAUUACUGGGCGUAAAGCGUGCGCAGGCGGUUAUGUAAGACAGUUGUGAAAUCCCCGGGCUCAACCUGGGAACUGCAUCUGUGACUGCAUAGCUAGAGUACGGUAGAGGGGGAUGGAAUUCCGCGUGUAGCAGUGAAAUGCGUAGAUAUGCGGAGGAACACCGAUGGCGAAGGCAAUCCCCUGGACCUGUACUGACGCUCAUGUACGAAAGCGUGGGGAGCAAACAGG
rnacentral:rRNA from 1 species